rnacentral:lncRNA from 1 species
GUUUUUGGUCAUUCCAGGGUGCCGUUAGCCCGGCAGGACAGCGCCUCGUGGCGGCAGCGGCUGGCGCGGGCGGGGCUCGUUUUGGGGCAUUUUUUGGGGCGUUUCUCAGCGGAUUUUUUCGGGGUUUUUUGGAGGAUUUCGGGGCCGAUUUUUGGGUUAAUUUCAGGUGUUUUUGGUCGUUCCAGGGUGCCCCUGGCCCGGCAGGACAGCGCCUCGUGGCGGCAGCGGCUGGCGCGCGCGGCGGCGCUGGCGCGGGAGAUCGAGGCCUGUCCCGCCCAUCGCCUGCGGGCGGCGCUGGAGGACGAGGAGGGGGAGGGGGGGCGGGGCCUGACACAGGCCACGCCCCCCGCGCCGGACACGCCCCCUCCGCCCCAGGCCACGCCCACCUCAGGCCACGCCCCCUCGGAUGGACCAGCAGGGGGCGCCACACACAGGAGGCGGAGCCCGACCCAGGGAGGAGCAGCGGGGGAUGGGCGGGGCCGGAAAGGUGGGGGAGGGGCCAAAAUGGGGGAGGGGUUUAAAAAUGGGGGAGGGGCAAAAAAUGGGGGAGGGGCUUAAAAAGGGGGAGGGGCUGAAAUGGGGGAGGGGUUAAAAUGGGGGAGGGGCUGAAAUGGGGGAGGGGCUAAAGUGGGGGAGGGGCUAAAAUGGGGGAGGGGUUAAAAUGGGGGAGGGGCUAAAAUGGGGGAGGGGCUUAAAAUGGGGGAGGGGCCAAAGUGGGGAGGGGCUAAAAUGGGGGGGGGGCUAAAAAUGGGGGAGGGGCAGCGGUGGCGGGUUUUGGUUUUUCCUUAUUUGGUCAUUUUAGGUUGUUUUUGGGCACUUUGGGUCCGUUUUGGGGUUUUUUGGGUCGUUUUGGGUUGUUUGAGGUGGUUCGGGGGGAUUUUGGGUCAUUUUGGUUUAUUUUGGCCAUUUAGUUAUUUAGGGUUAUUUUGGGCCAUUUCUGGGUAGUUUUGGGCCGUUCUUUGGGUUUGGGUAAUUUUGGGCCAUUAUUGGGUCAUUUUGUCCUGGUUUUGGGUUAUUUUGGGUAAUUUUGGGCCAUUUUUAGGUCAUUUUGUGGCGGUUUUGGGUUAUUUGGGGUUAUUUUGGGCCGUUUUUGGAUUAUCUUGGGUAAAUUUGGGCUGGUUUUGGGUCAUUUCGUGUCCAUUUUGGGUCGUAUUGGGUCCUUUUGGGUGGUUUGAGGUGGUUCGGGGGAAUUUUGGGUCGUUUUGGGUUAUUUUGGUUAUUUUGGGUUUUUUUGGGCCAUUUUUGGGUAGUUUUGGGCCGUUUUUUGGUUUUGGGUAAUUUUGGGCUGUUUUUGGGUCAUUUUGUGCUGGUUUUGGGUUAUUUUGGGUAAUGUUGGGACAUUUUUGGGUCAUUUUGUGCCAGUUUUGGGUAAUUUUGGGUAAUUUUGGGCCAUUUUUGGUUAUUUUGUACUGGUUUUAGGUUAUUUUGGGUAAUUUUGGGCCAUUUGUGGGUCAUUUUGUGCCAUUUUUGGGUUAUUUUGGGUAAUUUUGGGCCAUUUAUGGGUCAUCUUGGGUCAUUUUUGGCCAUUUUUGGGUAAUUUUGUGCCAGUUUUGGAUAAUUUUGGGUAAUUUUAGGCUGGUCUUGGGUCAUUUUGGGUAAUUUUGUGCCGGUUUUGGGGUAAUUUUGGGUAAUUUUGGGUAAUUUUGGGCCGUUUUUGGGUCAUUUUGGGUCAUUUUGGGUAAUUUUGUGCCGGUUUUGGGUAAUUUUGGGUAAUUUUUGGGACAGUUUUGGGUCAUUUUGUGCCAGUUUGGGUAAUCUUGGGCCAUUUUAGGGUCAUUUUGGGCCGUUUUUGGGUCAUUUUGUGCCAGUUUUGGAUAAUUUUGGGUAAUUUUGGGCUGGUUUUGGGUCAUUUUGGGUCAUUUUGUGCCGGUUUUGGGUAAUUUUGGGCCAGUUUUGGGUAAUUUGGGUAAUUUUGUUGCUGGUUUUGGGUAAUUUGGGUAAUUUUGGGCCGUUUUUGGGUCACUAUGUGCCAAUUUUGACUUUUCCCCUCUCUCUGCCCCCCCCUCCCCCUUCAGCUCCCCCCCGCCGCCCCCCCCGGACCCGCCGCCGCCCCUCCCCCCGCGCUGCCCCCCUCCCCCCCCCCAGCGGUGGGGGAGGGGCCGGGAGGGGGCGGGGGCCAGCGCCGGGACCCCCCGGGGAGCCCCCCGGGGUGGGGGAGGGCAGGAGGAGCCGCCGCUGCCCGAGUGAGUGGGGGAGGGGCGGGGGUGGGGAGGGGCGGGGUGGGGAGGGGCGGCGAUAAAAUUAUCAUUUAUUAAUUAAUAAGGGGGCGUGGCCAAACCGCAGUGGGCGUGGCCGGGCUGGGGGGGUCGCGGCCCCUCCCCCACACCUGACCACGCCCCCCGCCCCUCCCCCACCCCCCCAGGCAGGUGAAGAGAUCGACGCUGAACCCCCACGCGAAGGAAUUCAGCCCCGGACGGCCCCUGGUAAAGAGGGGGGAGGGGCUUCCAAAAAAGGGGGCGUGGCCUCCCCAAAAAGGGGGCGGGGCCUCCCAAAAAUGGGCGUGGUCAGAAUAUUUAAAUAAGUCCUGACUCCGCCCCCUUUUUAUUAUUCAAUUUCAGGUCAAGGCCCCGCCCAGCGCCGCCCCCUCCCCACCCCGCGCCCCUCCCCCGCCCUGGGUGGGGGGGGGGCAGGGGGAGGGGUGGGGAGGGCGGGGGCGGGGCUGUUCCCGGCCCCUCCCCCCCACUACAUCUCCUACAUCCCCCAACUCCACGUCGGCCCCGCCCCCGUCCAGGUGAGCCACGCCCACUUUUUUUGGGGGGUGGGGGAGGGGGAGGGGCUUAUUUGAGGUGGGGGAGGGCCGAUCUGACCCCUCCCCCCCCCCCCUCAGCCCCCACAGAUUUUCCCGUUUCCCGUUUCCGGUUCCGCUUCCGGAAAGUUCCGCGGGGCCAAAGGUCAGUCCCGCCCCUCCCCCACCCCUCCCCCACCCCCCCCAGGGGCUGUUUGGCCCCUCCCCCACCCAAUAAACGCUGACUCGGCCGUUUUUUUUUUGGUCGCAGGGUCGCCCCUCCCCCCCCCCCGCGGCGACCCCCACCCCCCCCCCAGCUCGGCCCCUCCCCCGCUGGUGGCCGCCCCUCCCCCACCGCCCCCUCCCCCCCCUUCUCCUCCUUCCUGUCCUAUCAGAGCUUCGGGGCGGGGGAGGGGCGCAGGCCCCGCCCCCCAUGGUUGCCGCCCCUCCCCCCACUACCAACAGGUACCACCCGAAGGGGGGAGGGGAGGGAAUAAAGGGGGUGGGGGAGGGAAUUGAGGGGGGAGGGGUCAAGAAGUGGGGGAGGGG